CCUGGCGUCAGGACGAACGCUGGCGGCGUGCUUAACACAUGCAAGUCGAGCGAUGAAGUUCCUUCGGGAAUGGAUUAGCGGCGGACGGGUGAGUAACACGUGGGUAACCUGCCUCAUAGAGGGGAAUAGACCUUCCGAAAGGAAGAUUAAUACCGCAUAAGAUUGUAGUUUCGCAUGAAACAGCAAUUAAAGGAGUAAUCCGCUAUGAGAUGGACCCGCGUCGCAUUAGCUAGUUGGUGAGGUAACGGCUCACCAAGGCGACGAUGCGUAGCCGACCUGAGAGGGUGAUCGGCCACAUUGGGACUGAGACACGGCCCAGACUCCUACGGGAGGCAGCAGUGGGGAAUAUUGCACAAUGGGGGAAACCCUGAUGCAGCAAACCGCCGCGUGAGUGAUGACGGUCUUCGGAUUGUAAAGCUCUGUCUUCAGGGACGAUAAUGACGGUACCUGAGGAGGAAGCCACGGUUAACUACGUGCCAGCAGCUGC
rnacentral:rRNA from 1 species